UACGAAGGGGGCUAGCGUUGCUCGGAAUCACUGGGCGUAAAGGGCGCGUAGGCGGAUCUUUAAGUCGGGGGUGAAAGCCCAGGGCUCAACCCUGAAACUGCAUUCGAUACUGCGUGGCUAGAGUGCUGGAGGGGAGACUGGAAUUUACGGUGUAGCAGUGAAAUGCGUAGAUAUCGUAAGGAAGACCAGUGGCGAAGGCGGCCAGCUGGGCUGUUGCUGACGCUGAUGCGCGACAGCGUGGGGAGCAAACAGG
rnacentral:rRNA from 1 species